UACAGAGGGUGCAAGCGUUGUUCGGAAUUACUGGGCGUAAAGAGUGUGUAGGGGGUGCUCUAAGUUCGGUGUGAAAUCUCCCGGCUCAACUGGGAGGGUGCGCCGAAAACUGGAGUGCUGGAGCGCGGGAGAGGAAAGCGGAAUUCCUGGUGUAGCGGUGAAAUGCGUAGAUAUCAGGAGGAACACCGGCGGUGUAGACGGCUUUCUGGACCGUAGCUGACGCUGAGACACGAAAGCGUGGGUAGCAAACAGG
rnacentral:rRNA from 1 species